rnacentral:rRNA from 1 species
UACGUAGGGCACAAGCGUUAUCCGGAAUUAUUGGGCGUAAAGAGCUCGUAGGCGGCUUGUCGCGUCGGAUGUGAAAGCCCGGGGCUUAACCCCGGGUCUGCAUUCGAUACGGGCAGGCUAGAGUGUGGUAGGGGAGAUCGGAAUUCCUGGUGUAGCGGUGAAAUGCGCAGAUAUCAGGAGGAACACCGGUGGCGAAGGCGGAUCUCUGGGCCAUUACUGACGCUGAGGAGCGAAAGCGUGGGGAGCGAACAGG